rnacentral:lncRNA from 1 species
CAGUUCCUGGCCUUGGGACCCCGAGCUGCACAGCCCCAGCACUCUCCCAGUGCACCCGUCCUCCACCUCCCCAAGCUGCCUGAUGGGACCAGGCGAUGAAAGGAGGUUCCCCUUCAAGUGCCUGCACAGCCACUCCCCAGCCACUAGGGCAUCUCCGCCUGCCUGAGGGUGAGAAAGGGCAGGUGGAGUUCAGCAGAAACAGCCAUGCUCACCAAAUAUUCCAUCUGGAACAAGCAUGUGAUCUCCCCGCAGUCUCUUCUGGUCUUGUGACCCAGAAGGCCUUGUGGUGAGAUGGUGGAACUGAGCUGAGCUGGAAGCAGCCCAGGUUGCCAAAUUGUCACUUGGAAGACACCCCUGGCAACCUUUGUAGAAGCAGCAAAAUUUCACCCAAGGGGAUCUCCCAUUCCUCUUUCCUGGAAGAGACUCCAGGGUAAGCAAAAAAUAGAUCCCAUCUCACCUCUACAGGGUGUGAGAAUCCUACAGAACUCUUGGUGCAUUUUGUAAAACCACAAACUUCUUGAGUUUGGAAAGAAUUCUGGAGUCUUUCAGUCCUAAGUCACAGACCCCAGCAUUGAUUAUGGAGUCUACAGCAGCACAGAAUUCCAGAGUCACAGAAAUCAAAGCUCCAGGACAGUCCUGGAAAGAAACAGGAGAGCGUGGCCACCCAUCUGCCCAGCCACCAAGGCCUAACCCACUAGGGGGGCUAUAUUGGCUUCUUCUUGGGGACGCCCAGUACAGCAGGCCCCCCGGUCCUCCCUCCCCAGGCCUGUGUCUCACGUCCCCACAGUGGGAUUGCAAGCAAGCUGUCCCCAUGCAGCAGAGCAUGACUUUGUGUUUGAAGGACGAAUGCCAAGUUUCCUCUCUGGGGCCCUCUCACAAACCUCCAUAUAUCACCUUCACAUGACCAGGCUGGCAGACCUGCCACCCCCAGCUCUGCUUGGCUGUGAUAAACACAGAAGACAACGCAUUGCCUACACCCUCAGGCCCUGAAAUCAGGGAGGGGGUGGAAAAAUCCAUCGAA